CGGCACGGGUGAGUAACGCGUAUGCAACUUACCUAUCAGAGGAGGAUAACCCGGCGAAAGUCGGACUAAUACCGCAUGAAGCAGGGGCCCCGCAUGGGGAUAUUUGCUAAAGAUUCAUCGCUGAUAGAUAGGCAUGCGUUCCAUUAGGCAGUUGGCGGGGUAACGGCCCACCAAACCGACGAUGGAUAGGGGUUCUGAGAGGAAGGUCCCCCACAUUGGUACUGAGACACGGACCAAACUCCUACGGGAGGCAGCAG
rnacentral:rRNA from 1 species